rnacentral:rRNA from 1 species
UUGAACGCUGGCGGCAGGCCUAACACAUGCAAGUCGAACGGUAACAGGAAGAAGCUUGCUUCUUUGCUGACGAGUGGCGGACGGGUGAGUAAUGUCUGGGAAACUGCCUGAUGGAGGGGGAUAACUACUGGAAACGGUAGCUAAUACCGCAUAACGUCGCAAGACCAAAGAGGGGGACCUUCGGGCCUCUUGCCAUCGGAUGUGCCCAGAUGGGAUUAGCUAGUAGGUGGGGUAACGGCUCACCUAGGCGACGAUCCCUAGCUGGUCUGAGAGGAUGACCAGCCACACUGGAACUGAGACACGGUCCAGACUCCUACGGGAGGCAGCAGUGGGGAAUAUUGCACAAUGGGCGCAAGCCUGAUGCAGCCAUGCCGCGUGUAUGAAGAAGGCCUUCGGGUUGUAAAGUACUUUCAGCGGGGAGGAAGGGAGUAAAGUUAAUACCUUUGCUCAUUGACGUUACCCGCAGAAGAAGCACCGGCUAACUCCGUGCCAGCAGCCGCGGUAAUACGGAGGGUGCAAGCGUUAAUCGGAAUUACUGGGCGUAAAGCGCACGCAGGCGGUUUGUUAAGUCAGAUGUGAAAUCCCCGGGCUCAACCUGGGAACUGCAUCUGAUACUGGCAAGCUUGAGUCUCGUAGAGGGGGGUAGAAUUCCAGGUGUAGCGGUGAAAUGCGUAGAGAUCUGGAGGAAUACCGGUGGCGAAGGCGGCCCCCUGGACGAAGACUGACGCUCAGGUGCGAAAGCGUGGGGAGCA